rnacentral:pre_miRNA from 1 species
CUUGUACUCCCUCCGUUCCGAAUUACUUGUCGCAAGUAUGGAUGUAUCUAGAUGUAUUUUAGUUCUAGAUACAUCCGUUUCUGCGACGAGUAAUUUGGAACGGAGGGAGUAUAUU